CUUCCGAUCACCAGCUGGUCCGGAAGCUCUUGCUUCCUGUCCCAAACCAUGGUGUGGGGACCAGGGGCCACUCCCAGGGCACCAGGGCCAAAGCAGGCACACUGCCUGGCGUGCCAGCACUGGCCCUGGAGCCCAGGCCUUCACCAGGGCCCAUUACAUGUCAGCAAGCGGUCUGCACCAACCAUCAGGAGACCCCCUGGGUCUGUGCCUGGUGUCCCCACAGCCAAGCCCUCCCCGGAGAGUGAGGAGGCCAGAAGUUUGCCCUUGGGAACAAGGAACCAGGGUACAGAGGCUCUCGGGAGAAAAGAGAGAUUCGGCCAGCCAGUGGGCAAAGGGCAGCUCCUGGGACACAUGCAGACUCAACCUGCACGCCCAACACGAAGGACAAUUGAUGGGAGGAAAGAGCGGAGGAAAGAAAGAAGGGAAGGAAAAGGUGAAAAGGAGGAGAGAAGAGGAAGACGAGGGAAAUAAGAACCAUUGGGAAGAAGCAUCGGUUUUCCCCGGCAACAGGGAAGGAGCUGUCUCCCACUUAGUGGAAUUCAGUGCCCCCACAGUGGAAAAUGUAGUCAGACAGAGCCUGGCGUUGGCCUCACGCUCGCACAGCACGGUCAAAGGAAGUGAAAUCGAGUGGAUGCCUGUUCUGCAAGCAGGUGCCACCUGCAUCUUUUAUUUGCAUGCCCUUUCGAGCAUCCUCUGAAAUGGACACCUUUUUUAAGAACUUAAUUUUCUGGCUGCCCCACGCAGCACGCGAGAUCUUCUUUCCAGGACUGGGGGGUUGAACCGGUGUCCCCUGCAGUGGAAGUGUGGCGUCUGAGCCGCUGGAUGGCCAGGAAGGCUCCUUCUUCUGCCCCACCUCAAGGCUAGGGAAGCUGUACCUCAGAGAAGCCAGAGUCCUUGGAGAGGUUAGCCUAACGCUUUUCAUUCCCUGGGCGAAGGGUCGAGAGCAGCCCAACCUCAGAGUCCGCACCGGGACCACAACCUGCUGAGAACCGUGCCCCUGCUGAGAAAAGCAGCGGCUGGAGAGCCCCAGCCCAGCGCCUACUGGGGCCUUCAUCCUGGACAUCCACAUGGGUCACAUUACUGAAAUAUUCUGGCUUUUCUGCUUCUCGGGGAACCAUCUCCAAGGCACAGAAGUAAGGCGAGCAAACCCCAGUGUCCUCAGCAGAAGCAGAAUAAAAACAGGACACGUCUCUGAGAAGGGGAAACAGGGCCGUGCACCACGUGGGUCUAGACAGCGCGCAGGCCUGUGGUUGUGAGCGAUGAGAGGAGGCAGCGGCUUGAGGCAGGGAGGCCGCAUGCAGGCCUGGAGAGGCGGGGAGAAGCCUUUGUCUCUCCCCCGAGUCACCAGCACUGCCAGCAGCCCUCGGAUGUUGACUCAGCUUGGCUGAAUUCACUUGGCAGAAGGAUCCAUCUCCAGCUUUCACGGAGAGACAAGAUGGACAGCAGAUAUCAGACUGCCCCAGAGCACACAGAUGGCUGACUGCAAGAACACACAGAGCUGGGAGGAGAAACUGGGGACCCUGCCCCUGAACUGCUCUGGAGGCGGCCGAGCACUGACCAACAAGGCCUCCAGAGUCGGUUCAGAAGGUGGCUCCAUCGCUGCGGUCAGCUAUGUGAUCUUGGGGUAGCUACUGAACUUGAGGGAGCCUCAGUUUCUUCUUCUGUGAAAUGGGUCUAGCUGCUGUUGCUGACUUCCUGUGUGGGUUAAACACACGUAGAGUGCUUAGGGAGCAGUACAGGGGAACUGCAGCCACAGACAGCUUUCCCGGCCCUCCUGGCCUCAGAGGCCACACCUGGAAAACAAGACUGUGAGAAGAGAGGGUUUCCAGGGAGCUCCUGCAAUCAUAAAACUGCACCGUUCUGAGACUUUAGUAAGGAGUGCUAAUUCUUCCCCAGAGGUCUCCCAACACUCUGUGGACCGUCGCUGAGCCGCCACUCAGAACAGCCUUCUGCCUCUGCCCACGCGUGUGGGACGUGGCUUCACUUCACUCGGUUGGCUUAUAGGGCUCCAGAAAGGAAGGUUCUAGCAACUGCCACUCACCUGGGAGGUAGCUGCUGAUCAAAGGGACCAUCUAAAACCACCAGGCGCUAUUUGCUGUCACAGCCACAGGGCUUGUGGCUUUUAAAGGCAGCAGCAGGGGACAGCUUCCCGGGCAGUCAUACGGGGCCCCUCGUUUCUAAGUUCUCCGCGCGUCUAAUGCACAGCUGCUGCUGCCCUGAGUAUUUCUGAGCCAGGGUUCCCACAUUUCCGGUUUGCGCUGGGGCCUGCACACCAAGCAGUGGGCCACUCCUGCAGGUGGGCCACGUCCAAGGUCACACCUGUCGACACUACCCUGUGUGUGUAUAGUUGUGGAUGUGGUUAGGGAGACAGAAAUCUUGGAAUUUUAAGUUGCUGCACCAAAGCGAUGCCUCUGUUAGCGCCCAUGGCAGGAAAGAGCAUGGCUCUAGCAGGGAGAGUUCCCUGCACCAGGCCUGGCCCCACCGGCAGGAGGAAGCCCGCACCGCGGCGGCCUCAGCUGGGCAUCCGGGGAGCAGGAGACGAGCGGACUCAUGGAAAUCUCCCAGCUCACGUCGCAAGACGGUGAUUUUUCUCUGCCCAGCUCCUGUGUCUCUCCCAGAUGAUAUAUGAAUCGCCUUAUUUACCUUUUCCCUCCAAACCUUCUCCUUUAUUAUUUUUAUUAAUGCCAUGCCAACACUGAAAAGGUGUUUCCUUUGCAAAAAGAAAAAAAGGUGGGGGGAAGGAAAGAAAGUAACCCCUAACACCUCAUUCCAUUCACACAGCAGAGGGAACAUCUAUUUAAAAAUAGCAAUAUUUAUCUGUGUGUGUGUGUGUGUGUGUGAGAGAGAGAGAGGACUUAAAAUGGGUUGGUUAUAUGACAGUCUAAAAUCGGAAUACCAAUAAUAAUAAAUUCAGGUCUUUAUUUCCAAAAGGCCACAGUACUCAGUAAAGUUUUACUAUCUUUAUUGACAAUAAAAAUGUUGCUGCAC
ensembl:lncRNA